rnacentral:rRNA from 1 species
CUCAGAAGCUAAGCAGGGUCGGGCCUGGUUAGUACUUGGGAGACCGCCUGGGAACACCGGGUGCUGUUGGCU